AUUUAUAAGAAUAUGAUGUUGGUUCAGAUUAAGCGCUAAAUAAGGACAUGACACAUGCGAAUCAUACGUUUAUUAUUGAUAAGAUAAUAAAUAUGUGGUGUAAACGUGAGUAAUUUUAUUAGGAAUUAAUGAACUAUAGAAUAAGCUAAAUACUUAAUAUAUUAUUAUAUAAAAAUAAUUUAUAUAAUAAAAAGGAUAUAUAUAUAAUAUAUAUUUAUCUAUAGUCAAGCCAAUAAUGGUUUAGGUAGUAGGUUUAUUAAGAGUUAAACCUAGCCAACGAUCCAUAAUCGAUAAUGAAAGUUAGAACGAUCACGUUGACUCUGAAAUAUAGUCAAUAUCUAUAAGAUACAGCAGUGAGGAAUAUUGGACAAUGAUCGAAAGAUUGAUCCAGUUACUUAUUAGGAUGAUAUAUAAAAAUAUUUUAUUUUAUUUAUAAAUAUUAAAUAUUUAUAAUAAUAAUAAUAAUAAUAUAUAUAUAUAAAUUGAUUAAAAAUAAAAUCCAUAAAUAAUUAAAAUAAUGAUAUUAAUUACCAUAUAUAUUUUUAUAUGGAUAUAUAUAUUAAUAAUAAUAUUAAUUUUAUUAUUAUUAAUAAUAUAUUUUAAUAGUCCUGACUAAUAUUUGUGCCAGCAGUCGCGGUAACACAAAGAGGGCGAGCGUUAAUCAUAAUGGUUUAAAGGAUCCGUAGAAUGAAUUAUAUAUUAUAAUUUAGAGUUAAUAAAAUAUAAUUAAAGAAUUAUAAUAGUAAAGAUGAAAUAAUAAUAAUAAUUAUAAGACUAAUAUAUGUGAAAAUAUUAAUUAAAUAUUAACUGACAUUGAGGGAUUAAAACUAGAGUAGCGAAACGGAUUCGAUACCCGUGUAGUUCUAGUAGUAAACUAUGAAUACAAUUAUUUAUAAUAUAUAUUAUAUAUAAAUAAUAAAUGAAAAUGAAAGUAUUCCACCUGAAGAGUACGUUAGCAAUAAUGAAACUCAAAACAAUAGACGGUUACAGACUUAAGCAGUGGAGCAUGUUAUUUAAUUCGAUAAUCCACGACUAACCUUACCAUAUUUUGAAUAUUAUAAUAAUUAUUAUAAUUAUUAUAUUACAGGCGUUACAUUGUUGUCUUUAGUUCGUGCUGCAAAGUUUUAGAUUAAGUUCAUAAACGAACAAAACUCCAUAUAUAUAAUUUUAAUUAUAUAUAAUUUUAUAUUAUUUAUUAAUAUAAAGAAAGGAAUUAAGACAAAUCAUAAUGAUCCUUAUAAUAUGGGUAAUAGACGUGCUAUAAUAAAAUGAUAAUAAAAUUAUAUAAAAUAUAUUUAAUUAUAUUUAAUUAAUAAUAUAAAACAUUUUAAUUUUUAAUAUAUUUUUUUAUUAUAUAUUAAUAUGAAUUAUAAUCUGAAAUUCGAUUAUAUGAAAAAAGAAUUGCUAGUAAUACGUAAAUUAGUAUGUUACGGUGAAUAUUCUAACUGUUUCGCACUAAUCACUCAUCACGCGUUGAAACAUAUUAUUAUCUUAUUAUUUAUAUAAUAUUUUUUAAUAAAUAUUAAUAAUUAUUAAUUUAUAUUUAUUUAUAUCAGAAAUAAUAUGAAUUAAUGCGAAGUUGAAAUACAGUUACCGUAGGGGAACCUGCGGUGGGCUUAUAAAUAUC
rfam:Saccharomyces cerevisiae S288c mitochondrion, complete genome.